rnacentral:lncRNA from 1 species
GCCACUGAUCUCCUUUUUUCCCUCGCUGUAUUACUCCGUAAGGCCACGUUUAGGGGCAUGUAAAGUCCCAACCCUCCAGUCUCUGAAGUCCAGACGUAUAAGCAACACCUCGGACUCUCUUUAAACCAGUUUUAGUUCGGAGUUGCUUUCCAUGAUUAACAAGCGGGUCCAUAUGGAAUAUUUGCUGGUAGGGAUGCCUCCAGAGGACUGGCCACAUUUUGCCUAGAUAAAGAUGCACUUAGAGAUGAAUAUGAUGAUCUCUCAGAUUUGAAUGCAGUACAAAUGGAGAGUGUUCGAGAAUGGGAAAUGCAGUUUAAAGAAAAAUAUGAUUAUGUAGGCAGACUCCUAAAACCAGGAGAAGAACCAUCAGAAUAUACAGAUGAAGAAGAUACCAAGGAUCACAAUAAACAGGAUUGAACUUUGUAAACAACCAAAGUCAGGGGCCUUCAGAACUGCAAUUCUUACUCCCUUUCACAGACUGUCCGGAGUCUUUGGGUUUGAUUCACCUGCUGCGAAAAACAUUCAACAAAUUGUGUACAAGAUAAAUUAAUCUCACUAUGAAGAUUUGAAUAACUAGACAUUAUUUAUGCUGCCAAACUCAUUUGUUGCAGUUGUUUGUAAUGUCUAGUGGGGCUUCAUCAUCCUGAAAAGAAGGAGACAGGGAUUUUUUUAAAGAGCAAGAAAGUCACAAUAUUACUUCUUUCCUUCCUUUUUUCCUUCUUUCCUUUCUUCUUUCUCUUUCUUUCUUUUUAAAAUAUAUUGAAGACAACCAGAUAUGUAUUUGCUACUCAAGUGUACAGAUCUCCUCAAGAAACAUCAAGGGACUCCUGUGUCACAUACUGUGUUUUUAUUUUAACAUGGGUGAGGGAGGCGACCUGAUCAGGGGAGGUGGGGGUACACAUCAAUUUGAGUUGUUCAGGCUACUGAAACAUUAAAAUGUGAAUUCCCAAACUUUUCUUUUUGGCUUUGUCAGGGAAAAGAAAAAUAUCUUUAUAAAGAAAUCUUUGGAAAUUAGGAGAAGGAAUUUC